rnacentral:rRNA from 1 species
CCUACGGGGGGCAGCAGUGGGGAAUAUUGGACAAUGGGGGGAACCCUGAUCCAGCCAUGCCGCGUGUGUGAAGAAGGCCCUCGGGUUGUAAAGCACUUUCAGUGAGGAAGAACGCCUGGUGGUUAAUACCCAUCAGGAAAGACAUCACUCACAGAAGAAGCACCGGCUAACUCCGUGCCAGCAGCCGCGGUAAUACGGAGGGUGCGAGCGUUAAUCGGAAUUACUGGGCGUAAAGCGCGCGUAGGUGGCUUGAUAAGCCGGUUGUGAAAGCCCCGGGCUCAACCUGGGAACGGCAUCCGGAACUGUCAAGCUAGAGUGCAGGAGAGGAAGGUAGAAUUCCCGGUGUAGCGGUGAAAUGCGUAGAGAUCGGGAGGAAUACCAGUGGCGAAGGCGGCCUUCUGGACUGAAACUGACACUGAGGUGCGAAAGCGUGGGUAGCAAACAGGAUUAGAUACCCUUGUAGUC